rnacentral:misc_RNA from 1 species
AUAACUUUUGCAAGACAAACAUCACUGGAGAAGGAGGUUUUGAUACAGCAUACAGAUCACACUGCCUAAUGGAGAAAAGGUUGGAGUUAAGAAGCUAAGCCAAGCCAAAGCCCUGGGUAACCGAGAAUUCAUUGCUGAAGUGGAGACUAUGGGAAUUGGGAAGGUAAAGCACCAGAUCAAUCUAGUUCCUUUACAGUGGGCCAAACGCUUCAAAAUCGCUACUGGAGCAGCACGGGGGCGAGCUUUUCUCCACCAUGGAUUCAUCCCU